AGGUGUGUCCCCAGCUGCAGCUGCUAAAGCAGCCAAAUAUGGUGCUGCUGGCCUUGGAGGAGUCCUAGGAGCUGCCAGGCCCUUCCCAGGAGUUGGAGCAAGACCUGGCUUUGGAUUAUCCCCUAUUUUCCCAGG